GAUGAACGCUGGCGGCGUGCCUAAUACAUGCAAGUCGAGCGAACAGACGAGGUUCUUGCUCCUCUGACGUUAGCGGCUGACGGGUGAGUAACACGUGGAUAACCUACCUAUAAUACUGGGAUAACUUCGGGAAACCGGAGCUAAUACCGGAUAAUAUAUUUAACCGCAUGGUUCAAUAGUGAAAGACGGUUUUGCUGUCACUUAUAGAUGGAUCCGCGCCGCAUUAGCUAGUUGGUAAGGUAACGGCUUACCAAGGCGACGAUGCGUAGCCGACCUGAGAGGGUGAUAGGCAACACUGGAACUGAGACACGGUCCAGACACCUACGGGAGGCAGCAGAAGGGAAUAUUCCGAAAUGGGCGAAAGCAUGACGGAGCAAAGCCGCGUGAGUGAUGAAGGUAUUCGGAUCGUAAAACUCUGUUAUGAGGGAAGAACAAAUGUGUAAGUAACUAUGCACGUAUUGACGGUACCUAAUCAGAAAGCAACGGCUAACUACGUG
rnacentral:rRNA from 1 species